GCCUGGGUGGCUCAGUCAGUUGAGUGUCUGACUUCGGCUCAGGUCAUGAUCUCACAAUUGGUGGGUUCGAGCCCCACAUCAGGCU
rnacentral:tRNA from 1 species